rnacentral:lncRNA from 1 species
CGUUCACCCUCACGGGUUCCAGGCAGGAUUUGUCCCUCGGGGGAGCCAUUACGGCCCGCCCUAGCCCGAGUGGAUUUGUCCCAAUUCCUUCCUCUGGGAAUUAGGUCGCCUCCCCCACUGCUCGAACCCUUGACCUCCCACUUUAAGGGAAUAGUCUGGUGAGAGUGAGUACCAAUUGUUCCAAUUUUAUGUAACAGCCCGGCCCCGUACGACCGGCCCUGUUACCGCUCACAGCCCGUGACCUUCCUCUGGGCCCAGCCACUGUGUGCAGCUCUUAACAUCCCUUCACCCUCACGGGUUCCAGGCAGGAUUUGUCCCUCGGGGGAGCCAUUACGGCCCGCCCUAGCCCGAGUGGAUUUGGCCCAAUUCCUUCCUCUGGGAAUUAGGUCGCCUCCCCCACUGCUCGAACCCUUGACCUCCCACUUUAAGGGAAUAGUCUGGUGAGAGUGAGUACCAAUUGUUCCAACUUUUUAUGUAACAGCCCGGACGUGAUCCCCGGCACUGUUACCGCUCACAGCCCGUGACCUUCCUCUGGGCCCAGCCACUGUGAGCAGCUCUUAACAUCCCUUCACCCUCACGGGUUCCAGGCAGGAUUUGUCCCUCGGGGGAGCCAUUACGGCCCGCCCUAGCCCGAGUGGAUUUGGCCCAAUU